rnacentral:rRNA from 1 species
UACGGAGGGUGCGAGCGUUGUCCGGAAUCACUGGGCGUAAAGGGCGCGUAGGCGGCUCGUGAAGUCAGUGGUGAAAGCCCAGGGCUCAACUCUGGGUCGGCCACUGACACUCGCGAGCUCGAGUUUGGUAGAGGCAGAUGGAAUUCCGGGUGUAGCGGUGGAAUGCGUAGAGAUCCGGAAGAACACCGGUGGCGAAGGCGGUCUGCUGGGCCAAGACUGACGCUGAGGCGCGACAGCGUGGGGAGCAAACAGG